UUCGUUUUAGUUUCAUCAACGCGGUUAAGCGCGACGUAGAAUAAGAACAUCCAAACGACAUUGUGUUUGUAUAAAAAGCGGCCGAUCAAGCUAGGAGCCGCUUGGCGACAGUAGCUGAUCAACCGGCAUGCACAGGUGUAUGUGGAUAAUAGUGGGGGGGUCGGAGCUCCCAGACGAGUGGGAGGGCUCCUUUUACGGUACGAAUACCAAUCACUAAUGAUCCUUCUGCAGGUUCACCUACAGAAA
rnacentral:misc_RNA from 1 species